rnacentral:rRNA from 1 species
GACGAACGCUGGCGGCGUGCUUAACACAUGCAAGUCGAGCGGAAAGGCCACUUCGGUGGUACUCGAGCGGCGAACGGGUGAGUAACACGUGAGUAAUCUGCCCCUCACUUUGGGAUAGCCACCGGAAACGGUGAUUAAUACCGGAUAUGACCAUAUGUCGCAUGGCGUGUGUUGGAAAGUUUUUCGGUGUGGGAUGUGCUCGCGGCCUAUAAGCCUGAUGGUGAGGUAAUGGCUUUCCAUGGCUUGGACGGGUAGCCGGCCUGGGAGGGUGACCGGUCACAUGGGGACGGGGAAACGGCCCAGACUCCUACGGGAGGCAGCGGUGGGGAAUAUUGGACAAUGGGCGGAAGCCUGUGCCAGCAACGCCGGGUGAGGGAUAACGGCCUUCGGGUUGUAACCCUCUUUCGGUGCCGACGAAGCGGAAGUGACGGUAGGUACAGAAGAAGCACCGGCCAACUACGUG